rnacentral:lncRNA from 1 species
GACUGAGAAAGUACAUAAUGAUUCUAGGAUUAAUGAUUCGCUACUCACUAGACUAAAGACGCUGAUAAAAUAACUAAAACGUUUCUACUCCUGUUUGAGAUGAAAUAACACUUAAACGAAGCAAAAGCCAUAACCCACAUGUCAAAAGCAUUAACAAAAAGAGACAGCUUAUUUUCUAAAUACAAAACUGUAUCAAAAUCAGUUUGUUGUACAUGGAUGCUGUCAAAACAUUUGUCACAGCAAUUAACUAN